rnacentral:rRNA from 1 species
GAAUAUUGGACAAUGGAGGCAACUCUGAUCCAGUCAUGCCGCGUGCAGGAAGACUGCCCUAUGGGUUGUAAACUGCUUUUAUACAGGAAGAAACCCCUCCACGUGUGGAGGUCUGACGGUACUGUAUGAAUAAGGAUCGGCUAACUCCGUGCCAGCAGCCGCGGUAAUACGGAGGAUCCAAGCGUUAUCCGGAAUCAUUGGGUUUAAAGGGUCCGUAGGCGGGAUAAUAAGUCAGUGGUGAAAGUCUGCAGCUUAACUGUAGAAUUGCCAUUGAUACUGUUGUUCUUGAAUUAUUAUGAAGUGGUUGGAAUGAGUAGUGUAGCGGUGAAAUGCAUAGAUAUUACUCAGAACACCUAUUGCGAAGGCAGAUCACUAAUAAUAUAUUGACGCUGAUGGACGAAAGCGUAGGUAGCGAACAGG